GAUACAGGAAGUAGUAGGAGCGGCUUAGAAAGAGGCUUGGUCUUUUUGAUCCAGGAGGGAAAGAGAGAGGAGGUCACUGGUUGAUUCUUUGCCACGCUUCUGACUCCUGGGCUUUUAUUGAUAAAAGAAUAAAUAGAUAAACGCUUCAGAUGUGUGUCCCCCCCCCCCCCAGAGAAGCUGUUACUGCUACUGAGUCAGGCCGCAGGCACAGAGUUAAGCUGCAAAAGUAGGAGAGGUUGCAGAGACCAAGGACAGGGUUAGAUCCAGGUGAACAAAAGGAUGGAUAGUUGGAUGUCAGAUCCAGAGGAAAGAGCAGACUGACAGACAGACAGACAGAUCCGAGUAAGACCAAUCAACAACAGGAAACAAGCUGAGCUGACGCCCCUGGGACACUCCAGUGUUUGCUGCCUGUGUACCAGUUAUCACAUGACAGGUCAACAUCACAGUGCUUCUUUUCAUGGAGCCCAGGAGAAGAGUUGCUCCCAUUCUUCAGCCUGAUACAUCUGCACCAGCAGCUGUUGUUCUGCCAUCCCUCCAGCCUUCCCUCACAGCCUCCUUGGUGUUUUUCCAGUUCUAAGCACCAGCUGGUCCACAGGCAGAAUUCCAACACCAUGACAAUGGAAGACACAUGCCUGUAGAGGUCAGGCUCUGGCACAACAUGGCUUCUGCCACAUUUUACAGAUACAACUGAGUCGAAUCACAGGGAUUUCUCAGAUCCAAGAUGGAAUUUCAAAAGUUCAGAGAGAAGCUCUGAGGAGUGUGCACAAAAGUCAGACCUUUCCCCAGAGCCCUCAUCCAGUGGCUGAUGGAAGCAGAGACAGACAUCCACAGAUAUACACUGAGCUGAAAUCUGGAAUUUAGUUGAAGAGAGGGAGGAAUGCAGAUCGAAGGGGCAGGUUGGAGAAACCCACAAAAACAGUUGGCCUGAACAAGGGAGAGUACAUCGACCCCAGAUGCUGUCUGGGAGGCCAGUACAAGACUGAUCCAGAUCCCUGAACAUGGAU
rnacentral:lncRNA from 1 species